rnacentral:pre_miRNA from 1 species
AGUGGAAUUGCUGGAUCAUAUGGUAAUUCUAUGUUUGACUUUUUGAGGAACUGCCAGACUGUUUUCACAGUGGCUGCACCAUUUUACAUUCUCACCAGCCAU